UACGGGGGGGGCAAGCGUUGUUCGGAAUUACUGGGCGUAAAGGGCUCGUAGGCGGCCAACUAAGUCAGACGUGAAAUCCCCGGGCUCAACUCGGGAACUGCAUCUGAAACUGCGAGCCUUGAGUACCGGAGAGGGUGGCGGAAUUCCUGGUGUAGAGGUGAAAUUCGUAGAUAUCAGGAGGAACACCGGUGGCGAAGGCGGCCACCUGGACGGUAACUGACGCUGAGACGCGAAAGCGUGGGGAGCAAACAGG
rnacentral:rRNA from 1 species